rnacentral:rRNA from 1 species
GACGAACCGUGCGAACGUUAUUCGGAAUCACUGGGCUUAAAGCGCGUGUAGGCGGAUGGGAACGUCGGUAGUUGAAAGCCCCCGGCUCAACCGGGGAAGUGGUGCCGAAACGACCCGUCUGGAGGGACGUAGGGGGACCUGGAACUUCCGGUGGAGCGGUGAAAUGCGCAGAUAUCAGGAAGAACACCCGUGGCGAAGGCGGCUCUCUGGGACGGUACUGACGCUGAGACGCGAAAGCGUGGGGAGCGAACAGG